rnacentral:rRNA from 1 species
UACGUAGGGUGCGAGCGUUAAUCGGAAUUACUGGGCGUAAAGCGUGCGCAGGCGGUUCGCCUAGUCAGGUGUGAAAUCCCCGGGCUUAACCUGGGAAUUGCGCUUGAAACUAGCGGGCUUGAGUGUGGCAGAGGGGGGUGGAAUUCCACGUGUAGCAGUGAAAUGCGUAGAGAUGUGGAGGAACACCGAUGGCGAAGGCAGCCCCCUGGGUCAACACUGACGCUCAUGCACGAAAGCGUGGGGAGCAAACAGG